AGAUCAGAAGAGAUUUUAGAUAGAUCUCGCUCCUCAGCAAGGGGGAGUGUUUGCCCGACAAGCACACACUCGAAUUGCUACCGGGAUAGUUGCUACGUACAUAGCUGUAGCUUCUAUUUUGGGGCGUUGGUCUGGCGCUUAAUCUAGACACAUGCACUAUAUACAUGGGUAUAUAAGAGUGUCGUGGCUGUACUCCCUUCAAUGUGGAACACGCCACGUUAAAUAAAACUCGGAGGGAUCCGAUCCACACCUGUCCCUAUCUACUAUCUAGCGAAACCACAGCCAAGGGAACGGGCUUGGAAUAAUUAGCGGGGAAAGAAGACCCUUUUGAGCUUGACUCUAAUCUGGCAGUGUAAGGAGACAUAAGAGGUGUAGAAUAAGUGGGAGAUAUUAGGCUUCGGUUUGAUAUCGCCAAUGAAAUACCACUACUCUUAUUGUUUCCUUACUUACUUGAUUAAAUGGAACGUGUAUCAUUCCUAGCCAUUAUACGGAUAUAUUUAUUAUAUCUUAUGGUAUUGGGUUUUGAUGCAAGCUUCUUGAUCAAAGUAUCACGAGUUUGUUAUAUAAUCGCAAACUAAAUCUUUAAUAAAACGAUGCAUUUAUGUAUUUUUGAUUUGAAAAUUUGGUAUAACUCCAAUUACUCAGGUAUGAUCCAAUUCAAGGACAUUGCCAGGUAGGGAGUUUGACUGGGGCGGUACAUCUCUCAAAUAAUAACGGAGGUGUCCCAAGGCCAGCUCAGUGCGGACAGAAACCACACAUAGAGCAAAAGGGCAAAUGCUGACUUGAUCUCGGUGUUCAGUACACACAGGGACAGCAAAAGCUCGGCCUAUCGAUCCUUUUGGUUUAAAGAGUUUUUAACAAGAGGUGUCAGAAAAGUUACCAUAGGGAUAACUGGCUUGUGGCGGCCAAGCGUUCAUAGCGACGUCGCUUUUUGAUCCUUCGAUGUCGGCUCUUCCUAUCAUUGUGAAGCAAAAUUCACCAAGCGUUGGAUUGUUCACCCAUGCAAGGGAACGU
rnacentral:ncRNA from 1 species